rnacentral:rRNA from 1 species
AAAGUGGAGCUUAACUCCAUCAUGGCAGUGGAAACUGUUGGGCUUGAGUGUGGUAGGGGCAGAGGGAAUUCCCGGUGUAGCGGUGAAAUGCGUAGACAUCGGGAAGAACACCAGUGGCGAAGGCGCUCUGCUGGGCCAUCACUGACGCUCAUGGACGAAAGCCAGGGGAGCGAAAGGGAUUAGAUACCCCUGUAGUCCUGGCCGUAAACGAUGAACACUAGGUGUCGGGGGAAUCGACCCCCUCGGUGUCGUAGCCAACGCGUUAAGUGUUCCGCCUGGGGAGUACGCACGCAAGUGUGAAACUCAAAGGAAUUGACGGGGGCCCGCACAAGCGGUGGAGUAUGUGGUUUAAUUCGAUGCAACGCGAAGAACCUUACCAGGGUUUGACAUCCUGCGAAUCUCUUGGAAACAGGAGAGUGCCUUCGGGAACGCAGUGACAGGUGGUGCAUGGCUGUCGUCAGCUCGUGUUGUGAGAUGUUGGGUUAAGUCCCGCAACGAGCGCAACCCACGUCUUUAGUUGCCAGCAUUCAGUUGGGCACUCUAGAGAGACUGCCGGUGAUAAACCGGAGGAAGGUGUGGAUGACGUCAAGUCAUCAUGCCCCUUACAUCCUGGGCUACACACGUACUACAAUGCUACGGACAAAGGGCUGCAAGUUCGCGAGGACAAGCAAAUCCCAUAAACCGUGGCUCAGUUCAGAUCGUAGGCUGCAACCCGCCUACGUGAAGGCGGAAUCGCUAGUAAUCGCAGGUCAGCAUACUGCGGUGAAUACGUUCCCGGGCCUUGUAGA